rnacentral:rRNA from 1 species
GACGAACGCUGGCGGCGUGCUUAACACAUGCAAGUCGAACGAUGAACUACCAGCUUGCUGGUGGGGAUUAGUGGCGAACGGGUGAGUAACACGUGAGUAACCUGCCCUGGACUCUGGGAUAACCCCGAGAAAUCGGAGCUAAUACCGGAUAGGACCUUUCCCUGCAUGGGGUUUGGUGGAAAGUUUUUCGGUCUGGGAUGGACUCGCGGCCUAUCAGCUUGUUGGUGAGGUAAUGGCUCACCAAGGCGUCGACGGGUAGCCGGCCUGAGAGGGUGACCGGCCACACUGGGACUGAGACACGGCCCAGACUCCUACGGGAGGCAGCAGUGGGGAAUAUUGCACAAUGGGCGCAAGCCUGAUGCAGCAACGCCGCGUGCGGGAUGACGGCCUUCGGGUUGUAAACCGCUUUUAGUAGGGAAGAAGGGCUUCGGCUUGACGGUACCUGCAGAAAAAGGACCGGCUAACUACGUGCCAGCAGCCGCGGUAAAAC